rnacentral:lncRNA from 1 species
UUUGGAGCAAUGAUGUUUAAACCGGACCGGCCGGUCAGCAAAAAAUUGAUUGAACAGGGAAUUGGAAAAUCCGGCGGUUGAACCUCCAACCGAAAAAUGGGUAAUACCGGUCGGGUCGGACCGGUUUUUCAAAAAAAAAAAAGAGCUUUUUCAGUCUGGGCAAGCCUGAUAAAAAAUAAAAAAAAAAACUAACUCGAGACCCACCCCCACCCAGGCAACCACCACUCUCGUCACUCGUCCAUCCGGCCUCUCGUCACUCUCCAGUCUCCAAUAUCCCUUCAUGGCUUCACCAUCCGGCUUUCAGCCUCAGAUCUGCUUCCACGUUCAGCCGCCUUCCAUCUACUUCUUCC